GGAACUUCAACUUGAGUCCAAGCACGCAAGAAAACAAUGUCACUCAUAAGGAUCUUAUCCUCAAAUGUGCAUCUAGCAAUGCCUUCUUUGGCACUCCCACCCUUCUUCUUGGGUUGGUUACCAAUCUCUUCUUUAGCAGCCUUUUUCACUUGCCCACGAAUUCCACUAACAGUUCGAAUAGCUGCACCUUCAAACCUAGCUAUUUCAAGAUCUGAAGUGAACAUGUCCUUGAUAAGUGCUGUCUUCUUGAAUAUUUUACAUGGGUGACCAACUAACUUAAUCUUUUUGACUAUUCUUGCUGCAUGGUUGAACUCUAGCACAGUUGCAGUCGCAGUGAUUCUAAAGGAUGCUUGAUUAUUUGACAAGUUCUGGACAGCGAUCAUUCCCGUGUGUGGAGGCACAAGGGGACCCCAAAACAUUGCCAAACAAUGCAUGUGUUCAGGAGUGUACUUGAGCAUACGGUGACGGCCAUUUUGAUCCUCAAUGGCAUAAAUAGGUACAGUUUGGUAGCG
rnacentral:misc_RNA from 1 species